UUCCGGUUGAUCCUGCCGGAAGAUACUGCUAUUCGGAUUCGACUAAUCCAUGCGAGUUGAGAGUCUUCGGGACUCGGCAAACUGCUCAGUAAUAUGUAGUCAACUUACCCUUAGGACAGGGAUAAUCUCGGGAAACUGAAGCUAAUACCUGAUAGUUGUUGAAUACUGGAAUGUAUUAACAACCAAAGUUCCGACGCCUAAGGAUAGGACUGCAUCUUAUCAGCCUGUUGGGGGUGUAAUGGACCUCCAAAGCUAUAACGGGUACGGGCCAUGAGAGUGGGAGCCCGGAGAUGGAUUCUGAGACAUGAAUCCAGGGCCUACGGGUCGCAGCAGGCGCGAAACCUUUGCAAUGCUCUAACGAGUGACAAGGGAAUCCGAAGUGCCACAGCACUGCUGUGGCUUUUGUUAAGUUCAAACAGCUUAGCGAAUAAGGGAUGGGUAAGACAGGUGCCAGCCGCCGCGGUAAUACCUGCGCCUCAAGUGGUGUCCACUAUUAUUGGGCUUAAAGCGUCCGUAGCCGGCUUAACAAGUCCUCAGUGAAAUCUUAUAGUAGACUAUAAGGCUUGCUGAGGAUACUGUUAAACUUGAGACCGGGAGAGGGUAGAGGUACUCUAGGGGUAGGGGUAAAAUCCUGUAUCCUUAGGGGACGACCUGUGGCGAAGGCGUCUACCUGGAACGGGUCUGACGGUGAGGGACGAAAGCUAGGGGAGCGAUCGGGAUUAGAUACCCCGGUAGUCCUAGCCGUAAACUAUGCCCGCUUGGCGUUACAAACCUUUCGAGGGUUUGUAGUGCCGGAGUGUAAAAUGUAAAGCGGGCCGCCUGGGGAGUACGACCGCAAGGUUGAAACUAAGGGAAUUGGCGGGGGAGCACACAAGGGGUGGAGGUUGCGGUUCAUUGGAGUCAACGCCGGGA
rnacentral:rRNA from 1 species